rnacentral:piRNA from 1 species
UGACUAUUAAAAAAUCGGGAC